rnacentral:rRNA from 1 species
GGGAAUUUUCCGCAAUGGGCGAAAGCCUGACGGAGCAAUGCCGCGUGGAGGUGGAAGGCCUACGGGUCGUCAACUUCUUUUCUCGGAGAAGAAACAAUGACGGUAUCUGAGGAAUAAGCAUCGGCUAACUCUGUGCCAU